GAGGCUGAUUCUUUACCAACUGAGCCACAAGGGAAGCCCUCUGACAGGAGAGCUAGAUAUUAUUUCAAAGGAUUGAAUGUUGUCUUCAUCCUUCCGAACAAGUGUGAGCUAUGACAAGUAACCUUGCAUUUUAUUUUUAUAAUUUUUCUCCCAGUAGUGAAUUUCUAAAAGUCUUCUAGAACCAACCAUUAAGUCUAGAAGAAUAUAAAUUUGUAUCUGGGCCAUGUUCAACUACAGCUAUCAUAUUUUUGGUGUCACCAUAUUGUAAUCAUAGACUUGUUAGGGAAGGUUUGUGUAUGUGGCAAGAGAUUACCACAACCUGACAGAACAUUAAAAAAAAAUCCACUUGGCCAUUUCUAACUAUGGGUCAAUACAUCUGGUUCUGGAUUUUCAAAAUAUUUAAGGAUCUUCUAUUUCUAAUCAUUGGUAACAAAAACGACUUAUUUUAAAACUCUUUCCAAAAAAACCUAAAUUAUCAUCAGUUUAAUAUGUUGUACUUAACAUAAGGUACAGUAUAUAAAAAAUAAAACUAUCAUUAUUAUUAAUAAAACUAUCAAAUUAUUAGUAUCUUCAAACAUAAAGCAUCAUCAGUACCAACUCCCUUACCCCCUGCCUUCUAACAGUUUCCUCUUGUCUCACUGCUAGUAAUACGUGUGGGUCUGGCACAUUGAUGACUGCUGUAUCAAGUUUAUUGAGUAGUUUUUUUGACCCUGGCUGUAAAUACCUUUUAAAUCUUUAAGCCUGUGAUACAGAUUAUACAACCCAAGUUAUUUACUAUUUUCAAAAAAACUUUAUAACCAUUAUGCUAGACAUUUUUAUAACCAAACCUUACAUACUACUGAAAGACAGUCACACAAGAAAGGAUUACAGGGCUAGUCUUAAAUCUACACGUACAGAGUCUCCACUGUGAGGACUUUUUAGAAAACAUCAAAUUUGAUUGAAACGUUAGUAAGCACCUUAGCAUGUAACUGUUUCUGCCAUGGAAUUUACUUUCCAGAAGCAUAGAAAGAAGGGAGUACUGAGCAAAUUACAGGGUAUUAUGUGAAGAAACUUCUGUCUUUUUACUGGUUUCCAAAACAAGGUUGUAAUCCCAGAAGGUCGUCAGAUCAGCUAAAGGAAAACCUUCUCUGUUCAAUGAAGGCCAGUGAGACUUUCUGACUCCAGCUUGGUGCUAAGGAAUUUCUUUGUCAACAAAUUCCUCCCACCUGGCACUCAGGGCACAAAAUUGUGUUUCUUGGCAGCUGGCCAACUUGACAAACACCAGUUCUCAGAGUCCUUCUUACGCACUCCUUUUUAGGUAGGCUAGUCCAAGCUGAAUUGAUAUUUACUAUCUCAAAAAUCCUUUCCUUGGCCUCAGACUGGGACCGACUUUGCAUUUAGAGCUUCAAAAAGAUAGUGAAAAAUGCCUUUCAAGGAAAAUGUUAAACUUUUUCCCCACCCUCUGCUAAUAUUUUCUGGUAUCCAAGUUGUAAAAAUAAUCCCUUUAGAAAUCUUUACAGAUGUAUCUGUUUUUGGUGAUACAGGAUUCUUUUGAAAAUGUGGAAAUGUCACUGUUUUAUUUGGUCACAAGGAUUUUCUUUAAGCCCUGUUCCUGUACACCUGAUACGGCUUGAUUUACUGAACUGGAUUUAGAUGUAUGUUUUCUCAAAAUGAGAAGAAAAAUUAACUCAAAAUAUUAAGAACCCGUCAUAGACAAGGUAGCUUUAAAGCCUAGACAUCAGCAGUAGCACAGCCAUUCUUGUUUCUCUGUACUCUGCUCUGAAAGGAGUGCUUUGCUUAUGACAGCUAGUUAGGUGAAAAAUCUAAGAAUUUUUCUUUUUUUUUGGCAUGCAGGAUCUUAGUUCCCCAACCAGGGAUCAAACCUGCCCCUCCCUGCACUGGAAGUGUGGAGUCUUAACCACUGAACCACAAGGAACGUCCCCCUUAGAAACUUCCGACAUGUCAGAAGUCCACAGAGUCGAGUGUUCAAGUAGUGCUCAGAAAUGGCUGUGAAAUUCCAUGUCCAUCAGCUCAAAUCACUUACAGCAGAUGAAGCGAUGACCUCUGCAGCUUUCCCAGGGCCAGCUCUGCAGAACCAGGAGUUGACCUGUGCUAAUUCACUGAAGGCUUGAGGCUGUGGCCUGGAGAGCCCAGAGCUGCAACACUUUACCCUGACCUAUGUUUCUAUGAACUUCAACUCCCCAGAAGCCACUCCACAAUGAAUUCCAUGGGCAACGGAGAGGUCAGUGCUAGCUUUUAAGUCAUGUAGAGAUGUGUCUGUCUUCAGGAUGUGCACAGGUGGAGAAAGCACUGGUAAAGCCAUGUCUGGGACUCACACACCCGCCUUGUUUUACAUCGUAUUUACUGUGCGCUGUGCCUCAUUCUAGAACUGGUAUUAUAGUCACCCAGUAGCCUAAAGUAUUAACUAAUCAUGCCUGCCUUAAAAAAACAAACAAAAAAACACUUCUGUUUCAGAAUCCUUCUCACGUAUUAGAAGCACUUUUCUCAGGAGCACUGUUCUGUUUUGUACACGCACUAGGAAUCCUCCUCCAAGGUUCCUUCCAGGAGGGAGCCCAGCAUUCUGGCAUUUGCGUCUUAGUACACAGAGAUAGUUCUCACAGCAGCAAAGAGGAACACUGGCGUUUUUCUUGAAAGGCACAACUCUUUCUACUUGGCAGUCACUUCCCCAUUUUGGGGCUUUAGGUACAGAGGCACAUGUUCCUAUCAUAAAGAAAACAACAUCGUGAUGGUUGGCUGUUACCUGCAGGGUCAGGAACUCACUGCACAAGGAUGGUGGAGAGCCACCAGCUCAAGGUCACUGCUGCCACUUUAGGAAGGCAGGCCUGGUGUUGCUAUUUUUUUUUUUUUAAUUUUAAGAGAUGCCAGAAAUGCUGUUUUGAGGGUAUGUGUGAACAAUUUCAAGUUUAAAAUGUUGAGUCAAUUAAAAAACUUGUACAAGCUGAAUAAAACAUGUCUGUGAAUUGGUUAUAGCUUAUAGGCUACCUAAGUGUAAACUUUCCUCAUUAAUUUGAUGUAACAACUUUACACUGAGAAUAGACAAAAAAUCAGAAAAUAUUCAACAUCUAGAAAACAAUUAUAUUCUCUUCCACAAAUUCCACAGUAAUUUCUCACUUUUGUCACCUGUUAAGAAUGACUAGAAAUCAGUUUGGCGUUAUGGGGCAAGCCUUGGGGUCAGGAGAUUUCACAUGCCUGUCUGUACAUGGUCAUCAUCUCUGGCCAACUGACACCUCUAACUGCUCAAGAGUUUGCUAGGUUUAGUAAGGUAAGCACCAAUCCUUCUACAAAGUCCACACUUCUCUGAAAUAGAAUGUACACGUGGAGUAAUUUCUGGCAUGUUGACUUUGCAGUUUAUAUCCAGAUAUAAUUUUAUUUUCCCCAGACAUAGAUUCUUCAAGUGAAAGCUUACUUCCUAAUCCCUGCUUCCAUCUGUCCUCAUGCAAAGAGGGCUCAGAAUAAUGGGCAACAUCAAACUAUUCCAGAAGACAGAGCGUCUGACUUAAAAAAAGAGAGCUGGAGUAAAUCACUGGAGGAUAAGUGGUGCUCUGAGGUCAAACAUUUGUUGGGUUUUACUUUGGAAUGGAAGCCAAAUGGUAGCUCUAAUUAGAAAAAAUAAUCUCCCACCAACUCUGGACAUAAGAUCAAUAUUUAAAUGGAGCAACACCAUCAUUUCUCCACAAAGCUCACCUUGAAGGUGAUUUCUCAUCCUUUGAAGGCCCCACACUCUGACAUGCUUUUCUCGAUGUGAUGUGGACAUCUCUGCCUUGGCCAGUAAGUAGCCUCCUAACCUGUCUUCCCGAAUCCUCGCUUGCUCACUACGUCUAUUUCCACAGGAGUGUGGGAGAGCCCCAAUCUAAUCACACCCUCCUGUUAAUAACUUUUAAUUGGUUCCCAUUGAUGUCAGGAUAAGCACCCAAGCCCUGCAUGGUCUGGCUUCUGCAACUUUUCUCCUGGUCAUUUCCUACCUGCCCUGCCACACAGGCUCCCUUCAGUCCUCGCAAAGGGUCAUGUUCCCUGCCACUUCGGGGCCUUUGCAAGCUCGCCAAGCCCCUGUCCCCCACCCUGCGCCCCUAGCACACUCCAGCUCAGAGCUGAGAUCUCUGCCUGAAUGGCACCUCUGUGGAGAAGCCUUCCUGGAACCGCCCUCUCGUUAGGCCAGGUUCUCUGCUAUAUCUUUUCAUAGCUCACUGUUCUCACCUAUCCUUAAUGGCACUUGUCUCAGUUUACACACAUGACUGUUAACGUCCAUCUCCCUGAAUAGGUCAGAAGCUCUACCCAGGCAGAAUUCACUGUUGUACCCACCAUGGGGGCCACUCGGCAUUAACUAUAGAAUGAGUGACCUCACGCUUUUCUGCUGCGUUUUCUUUACAAGGCGGCACACAUUUAUAAACCAGCUGGACUGAGGUGUGUACUUAAAGCAGAUCUAAAUGAGAAGAAAAAUCUGAGUGAUUGCUGAGAGGUCAACAGAGACUUUCUUCACUGAAAGAACUAAGUGGUUCAGUGAAGAAUUAAUGAUUUUUUUUUCCUCUUUUUAAAAUUUUUAAUUGAAAGAUAAUUGCCCUACGACAUUGGUUUUAUAUUUUGAAUGAGGAACAGUUUUAUUAGGAAAAUGGUUAGUAUAGUUAGUGUUCAGCAGAAAGGUUAUUUUUAUACUUCUGCUUUUCCAAAAAGAAGACCCUCCCCCACCAAUCCCAUCAACACACCAUCAUGCUCGGCUCUAAUGUCAUUCUUGCUUACUGUACAGGUCUCGUGUGAAUGUAUGGGAUGAUGCUUCCUCCCUCUUCCUUUUUCAAGUUCCACACUUCUUGGGUAUAUCAAAAUCAACACACAAAGUCAGCACAGAAAAGAUAAACUCUAACAGUUUACAUCUUUGAAGGAAGGAGGAAGAAAAGAGCAGGAGCUGAGGCCAAGAGAAACCACGGUGAUGAGGAGAAACAGCUACUGAGAGUGGUGGAGAAGAGAGACAGCCAACCACUAAUCAAGUUCCUGGAAAGACUGACUCUUCAGAGACUUUCAGAAGUGAAGCACAUCUUCAUUGUCUCUAAACCCCAAUCACAGCUCCCAGAGACAGGAGGACUAAAACAGAGCCACAAAGUCUCUGAAGAAAGAAACAGUAAGUUCUGUGUGGGACCUGUCUCCCUGAGAGCUUUGCACAUGUCACCUCAUCAGGGCUCACAACCAGGUAAAGAAUUGGAGGUUAAGAGAGGUCAGAGGACUGGAGAUCAUGCAAACAGUAAGUGAUGGAGAAAGGGUUCUAAGUUCACAUCCCUUCCAUAAGUGAUAAUGCUUUGUAAACGUUACUAUUCCUCCUAUACUGCCUGAAGAAAAACCGUAAUUAGGAAGAAUCUGACUCGCGGGGCCUGUGUCAGUGACAAAAUGAGAACACUUUUAGCCCCAACUUCAAACUCAAAAUAUCUUUUAACAAAAAGAACAAAAUAUUUAACCAAAAAAUAAUUCUAGGCAUUGGCUUUCCCCAAAGAGAUUGCAUACCUUUUGAGUUGGAGAAUCUAAUCCACAAGAAAUCCGCUCUGCCCUGCUAUGGGGUACUUAGCAGGUCCCCCAAACAGCAGCAGGCUCUUGGUUCCUUAUCAGUUAUACUAGAUAAAAAUGCCAACCAUGCUGCAUAUUAUUUUUAUUUAAUAUAUCUAAGAAUCUUGUCAUAAUGCAUAACAUUAUGUCUUAUGGUGGUGUUAGUUUUAUGUGCAAUUUAAAAUACUUGACAGAAUACUGCAGCUGAGAGGAGCAGGAAAUGUCAUGUAUCACACAGCUAUUAACAGGUGACUGGCAGAGUGAGGAGGAGGAGCCAGGUCCUCCAAGAAGUUGGGUUCUUCUCUCUCACCCAAGGAUAUGGUGAGACCUGGGUUUACAUUUUAUUGGACUGAGAGGCUGGGAACUUCAGAGCCACCCAUGACUUCCAUAUAAAAACAGCAUGUGAUUUGGUGACAUUGUGCACACAAAUGACAAUAUUCUAACCCAGGAGCACAGGGAGGAAAUAGACUGAUGGAGACACUUGGAAAGCCAUCCCUGCUGGCCCAUUAGAAACCAUUUCCUUGUUUUUAAAAGCAAAGUAUUUUUGCAGUUAACCUCCUCUCUACUCUGUCUAUUUCCACCAAAUACAGGGAAACAUGGUGUCCAGACCCACAGGGAAAUAUUGGGAAACUAAGUAAACAGCCCCAGUGAGGAUCUGAUGAAAGAACAGUAGACUGUGUGUCUGAAAUGUGUUUCAUUUCCAGCAUAUUGGAAUAGCAAUUUUGCUCUCAAUCGCUGAACAUUUGAUGGUAGCUGAGAAAGUUCUUAAAGACAAAUGUAAUAUUAAAGAAAAUAGGAGAAACACAAUUUAUAUUAUUAUUAUUGCAGAUAAAUGUCUUAGGAAUUGAUCCAGUCAACUGAUAAAAAAAAAAAUAUCCAAACUCCAGUGUUCCUCCCAGUACCCAGCCCCAUGUCCCAGCUCACAUGACAACCUGUUGCUAUACUGGCAUUAAGUGGAAACUGUACAUUUGAGAUUUACAUUAAAAAAGGUUUUUUUCCUACUGCAUUUACUGAGCACCUAUUGUGUGUGAGCCACUGUGCUAGCCACUGGAAUCAAAGCCAAACACCAUUACCUGCCCUCGCCCGCAGGAGAUAGACACCUAAACAGGUAAUUCUAACAGAGUGUGACAGAUGCCUGGGAUCCCAGGUCAGGGGUGCAAGGGGAGAAAGAGCUAAAGGAAGGCCUCAUUCAUGGAGCUGCCGCCCCAUCAGGGAUCUGUAUACAUUGGGAGCACAGCUGAGGGAAAACAGGAAGUGAUGGUUCUCAGCAGAAGGAAAAGUACUGCUCAGGACUAUAAAGUUGAGCGUGCAGUCUAGUAACUGUAGUAAGAGGAUCACAACAGCCAGACUUAAAUACACAUGAUUAACCAUUACUUAAACACAGACUUUAGAACAAUAUAAUAAAUUACAUUGUUUCCUGAAUCUUUACAAAUUUACCUCAAAUGGUAGAUUUGGGAUAGUUUGUUUUUAAAUUUCAAUCUGGCUUAAUGUUAGGGUGUUUCUGGAUUCUUAUCUUUCAGCAGCCCAUUGCUUCCUGUUUUAAGGCUAGCAGUCCCUCCAGCCCCCAGUUCAUCUCAGACAGGUCUCAUGAAAAGUAAACUGGAAAACUUGAGAGUGGGCCGCACAAAUAACAGAGAAUAUGGAGACACUAGCUAUUAGUACUAUUGGUAUACACUCCUCCAAGAAUGGAAGGGCCUCCAGGCUCAAAAACUGACUUUACUUUUAUAUUAACUAAAUUAUGGCUUCCUGAAUUUGAAACUAUUUAAAGCAGAUAAUCCCAUUUUUUUUCCAUUUUUCACAUAAUUCCUUAUUUUCCUCUCUCCCCCUUUUGCCAUGGUUCUUCCUGAAGGUGAUCAGGGGGCCCACUCCUCCAUCCAGCACAAGUUACUGUGCCUUUUCUCAUGAUGUACUCAAGAGAAUCAACCUCUCAAAAAGUGUCACAGGCCGGCAGGUUGAAGGAAUUCAUGGUGAGUGGGAAUAAAACAUAAGGGAAAAGCAACGAAGAAGGAAGAG